CACGUAGGGUGCGAGCGUUGUCCGGAAUUAUUGGGCGUAAGGGCUCGUAGGCGGGGUGUCGCGUCGGCCGUGAAAACCUGCAGCUUAACUGUGGGCUUGCGGUCGAUACGGGCAUCACUGGAGUUCGGCAGGGGAGACUGGAAUUCCUGGUGUAGCGGUGAAAUGCGCAGAUAUCAGGAGGAACACCGGUGGCGAAGGCGGGUCUCUGGGCCGAUACUGACGCUGAGGAGCGAAAGCGUGGGGAGCGAACAGG
rnacentral:rRNA from 1 species